UUCCUCUUUCAGCAUGCACGCUGGAAACAAUUAGAAAUAAGGGAAGAACACUCUCAAUAACCAAACCCUCACUCAAAUCUUUGAUUCCACCUAACUUUUGAUCCGGAGCUCUGAUCGCCGCACCGUUUGCGGCCACGCGUCCGCAGAGACAAGCUCUACAAAGGCUAAUACCUUUCAAGGAUCAAAUUGAGUUGAGGAAUGAGUGGGCUUUGGUUCCAUUGAGGCACAUACAAGGUGUAAAAGUGUAUAUGUUGGAGGUUUGGUGGUGAUUGAAACUAAGAUUUUGGGUGGUUUCUAAAAGCUUGAGGGGCUGUGUUGUGACUUGGGUGGCUGCCUUGGACUAAAUAUAUUGAUCGGUCAAGGUCGAGAGGCUCCUCGCUAGGUGUAUGGAUCUUGAAGCAGAGUAGUUCCUGGGUUAUUUUGGGUUUUAUGAUUGUAUAUAUAUGUAUCUAUGUACCUAGCUUGCUCUCCAAGAAACUUGUUUAUUUUGUUCUUCAUAGAGGUUACAGGAGAGUUAGGACUUUGUCUCUGUAUUUUGAGUAUUUUGGGAUACUUGUAUAUAUAUGUAAAUAUUCUCCGGCCAGCCUUGGCUUCGCAGGCUGAGUCAGGAGCUAGUUUCACUGUAUUCUUGGCUCUC